rnacentral:rRNA from 1 species
AGAGUUUGAUCAUGGCUCAGAUUGAACGCUGGCGGUAGGCUUUACACAUGCAAGUCGAGCGGUAACAGAUCUAGCUUGCUAGGUGCUGACGAGCGGCGGACGGGUGAGUAACGCGUAGGAAUUUACCUAAUGGCGGGGGAUAGCCCAGAGAAAUUUGGAUUAAUACCGCAUACGCCCUACGGGGGAAGGGAGGGGAUCUUAGGACCUUUCGCUAUUAGAUGAGCCUGCGUGAGAUUAGCUAGUUGGUGGGGUAAAGGCUCACCAAGGCGACGAUCUCUAGCUGGUCUGAGAGGAUGAUCAGCCACACUGGGACUGAGACACGGCCCAGACUCCUACGGGAGGCAGCAGUGGGGAAUAUUGGACAAUGGGGGCAACCCUGAUCCAGCCAUGCCGCGUGUGUGAAGAAGGCCUUCGGGUUGUAAAGCACUUUCAGCGAGGAGGAAAGGUUGGCAAUUAAUACUUGUCAGCUGUGACGUUACUCGCAGAAGAAGGACCGGCUAACUCCGUGCCAGCAGCCGCGGUAAUACGGAGGGUCCGAGCGUUAAUCGGAAUUACUGGGCGUAAAGCGCGCGUAGGCGGCCUGAUAAGUUGGAUGUGAAAGCCCUGGGCUCAACCUAGGAACUGCAUUCAAAACUGUCAGGCUAGAGUAUGGUAGAGGAUAGUGGAAUUUCCGGUGUAGCGGUGAAAUGCGUAGAGAUCGGAAGGAACAUCAGUGGCGAAGGCGGCUUCCUGGAUUAACACUGACACUGAGGCGCGAAAGCGUGGGGAGCAAACGGGAUUAGAUACCCCGGUAGUCCACGCAGUAAACGAUGUCUAUUAGAAGUUUGUGGCUAUAUGCCGUGGGUUUCAAAGCUAACGCAUUAAAUAGACCGCCUGGGGAGUACGGCCGCAAGGUUAAAACUCAAAUGAAUUGACGGGGGCCCGCACAAGCGGUGGAGCAUGUGGUUUAAUUCGAUACAACGCGAAGAACCUUACCUGGUCUUGACAUCCUACGAACUUACUAGAGAUAGUUUGGUGCCUUCGGGAACGUAGUGACAGGUGCUGCAUGGCUGUCGUCAGCUCGUGUUGUGAAAUGUUGGGUUAAGUCCCGCAACGAGCGCAACCCUUAUCCUUAUUUGCCAGCACGUAAUGGUGGGAACUCUAGGGAGACUGCCGGUGACAAACCGGAGGAAGGUGGGGACGACGUCAAGUCAUCAUGGCCCUUACGGGAUGGGCUACACACGUGCUACAAUGGCAGGUACAGAGGGCAGCGAAGCCGCGAUGGUAUGCGAAUCUCAUAAAGUUUGUCGUAGUCCGGAUCGGAGUCUGCAACUCGACUCCGUGAAGUUGGAAUCGCUAGUAAUCGUGGAUCAGAAUGCCACGGUGAAUACGUUCCCGGGCCUUGUACACACCGCCCGUCACACCAUGGGAGUGGGAUGCAAAAGAAGUGGCUAGUUUAACCCUUCGGGGAGGACGGUCACUACUUUGUGUUUCAUGACUGGGGUGAAGUCGUAACAAGGUA